rnacentral:rRNA from 1 species
UACGUAGGUGACAAGCGUUGUCCGGAUUUACUGGGCGUAAAGAGCGCGCAGGCGGUCGUUCAAGUCGAGUGUGAAAGCCCCCGGCUCAACUGGGGAGGGUCAUUCGAUACUGAUCGACUCGAAGGCAGGAGAGGGAAGUGGAAUUCCCGGUGUAGUGGUGAAAUGCGUAGAUAUCAGGAGGAACACCGGUGGCGAAGGCGGUUCUCUGGGCAUUACCUGACGCUGAGGAGCGAAAGUGUGGGGAGCGAACAGG